rnacentral:rRNA from 1 species
UACGUAGGGUGCGAGCGUUGUCCGGAAUUAUUGGGCGUAAAGGGCUCGUAGGCGGUUUGUCGCGUCGGGAGUGAAAUCCACUGGCUUAACUGGUGGCUUGCUUUCGAUACGGGCAGACUGGAGGUAUGCAGGGGAGAACGGAAUUCCUGGUGUAGCGGUGAAAUGCGUAGAUAUCGGAAGGAACAUCAGUGGCGAAAGCGGCUUCCUGGACCAGCACCGACGUUCAGGCACGAAAGCGUGGGGAGCAAACAGG